rnacentral:rRNA from 1 species
UCUGACCUCGAAUCAGGUGGGACUACCCGCUGAACUUA